UAUUCCUAGACAAAAGAAGACAAAACAUGGUCUUAACUUGGAGACUAAAAUUUAAUGGACAGGGGUAAGAAACAAUUCUCUUUUGCAACCCAGAACUCAUUGUUUGGUAUGAAUUUUGACACAAAUAAAAAGGAAAAUU
rnacentral:snoRNA from 1 species